UGCCUCAGUAACGGCGAGUGAAGCGGCAACAGCUCAAAUUUUAAAGCUGACGUCCUCGACGUCCGCAUUGUAAUUUGGAGAGGCAUCUUCGGUUUGGGCGCCAGCCUAUGUUCCUUGGAACAGGACGUCACAGAGGGUGAGAAUCCCGUGCUUGGCUGGCUGUCCCUCUCCAUGUGAAGUGUCUUCGACGAGUCGAGUUGUUUGGGAAUGCAGCUCAAAAUGGGUGGUAAAUUUCAUCUAAAGCUAAAUAUUGGCGGGAGACCGAUAGCGCACAAGUAGAGUGAUCGAAAGAUGAAAAGCACUUUGAAAAUAGAGUUAAAAAGUACGUGAAAUUGUUGAAAGGGAAGCGCUUGAGACCAGACUCGGCUGGAGAUGAUCAGCGGUCCUUUUGGGCCGUGCACUUGUCUUUGGUCGGGCCAGCAUCGGUUGAGACGGUGGGAUAAAGGCCUGAGGAAUGUGGCUCCUUUCGGGGAGUGUUAUAGCCUUGGGUGCAAUGCCGCCAGCCUCAACCGAGGACCGCGCUUUUUGCUAGGAUGCUGGCGUAAUGGUCUUCAGCGACCCGUCUUGAAACACGGACCAAGGAGUCUAACAUCUAUGCGAGUGUUUGGGUGUCAAACCCUUGCGCGUAAUGAAAGUGAACGGAGGUGGGAACCCUUCAUUAGGGGGUGCACCAUCGACCGAUCCUGAUGUCUUCGGAUGGAUUUGAGUAGAGCAUAGCUGUUGGGACCCGAAAGAUGGUGAACUAUGCCUGAUAGGGUGAAGCCAGAGGAACUCUGGUGGAG
rnacentral:rRNA from 1 species